AUGCUUCAAAGGUCACUUGAGGUUGAUCAUCACCUAGAGAGACAGAACCCUGCUAAACCUUCACUGCCGGUUGGCUUCAUCUCUGUUUGCGGUGGAUCUUUCGUCUCUAUAUGUCGUGCUCCACCCCAGGAGGCUUUGCCUUCACCUCUCCGCUCCUCUGCAAUUAAGGCUGACAGGAGAGCUUGCUCUAUUCCGCUGAUGCCAGUACUUAUAAAGAUGGAGAGAGAGAGCUCAGAUAUGUUCAUACAUCAGUCAAGGCCCCUUUCCAACCACCCAGCCAGUCUCCAUCCAUGCCAGUCUGUCUGUUGUUCUCAGUUUUUCUUUUUUACUUUAAUUUUACAACUGCCACUUGGGAGACUGAAUUGAUAUAAAUGGAUUUUUAGGAUAGUAUGUUGCUCAGGUAGCAGUGUGAUACUGUAAGUAGCAUUGAAAUUCUCUAGAAAUCACAAAUGUUGGGUUAAAUAAAAUGCAUUUAAAAGUUUAUUCA
ensembl:lncRNA